AUGGAAAUGAAUACCCCAAGGUUUCCUCUGGUCACUUUCCACACAUCCUCAUUUGGCCCCUGCUCAUGAGCAAGUUGAUUUAGGAGAUGGUGCCUGGCAGUUCCUCCUCUGAUUAUCCAGGGAAGACAGAAAAAGAGGAAAACAGGAGACAAGAAGUAAAGCUUAGAACAGAGAGGAAAUACAGAGCAAGGUCAACUGAGAUAUUCCGGAGAAGGG
rnacentral:lncRNA from 1 species